GUCGGCCCGCCCUACGGGCGGGAUGAUAAUUUAAAAAUAAUUUAAAGAUAAUUUAAAUAAUUAGAGUAAAUAUUUUUGAUUUUUGUUUAAUAUUUAUUUGUAUUUUAAAUUGUUUUGUUCUAUAUUAGUAUGAAUCAUUAUUUUAUUGAUUGUUAUUUUAUUUUAUUUUAUUUAUUGUUAUUCUUUAUUCAGUUUCAUUCUCAUUACAAUUAACUAAUUUUUUUCUUAAGAUUUUGUAUUUGAAGUUUUAUUCUGUUUUUAUUUUGAUGGUGUAGAAUUGUUGAUUUAUUUGUUUAGCUUGAAGCUAUCUAGUUUUAUCCAUUCUCUUACAUUAUUUUAUAUCGUGUGUCUCUUAUUCGAUUAUAUAACUAUAUAUUUUAUUUUUUCACACUUGUGGAUCUAUGUUUAUAGUUUUUUUAAGAAUCCUUCACAUACAUAUUUAGAAUACAUUCUACAUUUAUUUAGUUAGAAUAACUUAAUAUAUCUCUUUUAUAUAAAAAGAAUAUUCAUUUUUGUUUUUAUAUUUAUUUUUUUCCUGUACUUUAUUAUAUUUUUCCUAACAAUUAUUUUUGAUUUUUUUAUUAUCUAUUCAUUUUUUUGUUGUGGUCUUAUUGUCGUAUUAACUUUUUUUAAUCCAUUAUGUAUUACUAUCUCUUAAAAUAGUUAUUAAUUAACUCCAAAUAUGAAAACCAAUGUCUUUAAAAUUAAUAGUUGUUUACAUAUAAUAAGUCAAAUGGAUAGUUGUUUCCUCAGAAAGAUGAGGAAUUAAUUGUUUUAUAAUCUUCCAAAAUUCAAAAUAAAAUAAUUGUAUUAUUAUCAUAAAAACCUAUUAGAUAAAUUAAUUUUCCAUCUAAAUUGGUAUGGGGCUAAACUAUAAUAAAGGAUAUGAGUCAAAAUCUAAAAUAAAAAAAAUAAUAAACUGUCCAAAUCCAGCAACAGUUGGCUUGGCCAAUGGAUCAUUUUCAAAUAUGAGCGGGAUUUGAUUUUCCAGUUAUCAUGGUUUGUAUAAUUGUUGUUAUAAUUUGGUAUUUGGUGUGUUUGGACUGCGAAUGGAAUGUAUAUUGGUGAUAGUAAUUGUUUUUUUUUUUUUGAACUAAUGGUGAUAGUAAUUGUUGUCACUAUUGGUUGUUAAGCUUGAAAAGUAUAGUCGUUAUAUACAUGCAUUUUUGUACCUGGUAAAGCGUGAGUUCUUCCUCUUCCACGUCUUUUAAAUGUUUGAGUUUUAGCUGAAGAAAUAAAGGAAUUUUGAUGAGUUAUGGGCGCUGAGAAUGUUACUUGCAGAAGAAACGAUUAAUUGUGACUAACCUUCUGAUACAAUAUGCGUCGAUUUAGUAGCUCCCAGGAGCAUCCGUGUGAUACAGGCCGGGAAGCAGUCUGCACGGACGGACAGUCUGAGGUUCGAGAAGUCGGACUGGACAGGACGGACGGACGGUUAUGGGACGGCUAGACGGUCGCGAUGGGUUGGG
rnacentral:lncRNA from 1 species